rfam:Tupaia chinensis contig207411, whole genome shotgun sequence.
UUGCUUACUUUGGCAGCACAUACACUAAAACUGGAGUGACACGGAGAAGAUUAGCAUGGUUGUUUUACAAAGAUACACAAAUAUUCAUGAAAUGUUCUAUAAUUUU